rnacentral:rRNA from 1 species
CACGUAGGGUGCGAGCGUUGUCCGGAAUUAUUGGGCGUAAAGAGCUCGUAGGCGGUCCGUCACGUCGGAUGUGAAAUUCCAGGGCUCAACCCUGGACCUGCAUUCGAUACGGGCGGACUAGAGUUCGGUAGGGGAGACUGGAAUUCCUGGUGUAGCGGUGAAAUGCGCAGAUAUCAGGAGGAACACCGGUGGCGAAGGCGGGUCACUGGCCCGGUACUGACGCUGAGGUGCGAAAGCGUGGGGAGCAAACAGG